CUGAAUCACAGAUGAAUUCUGCAGAAGUUUCUGAACCAAACAAACAAGACGAUCACUUUUAUCAAUACUUAACUCCAAAACAGCCCUCAUCAUUGACUCCGCCUCUUCAGCUGAACGUGCCUUUGGCUCCGCCUCCUGUUGCCGACUGAUGGCGUUUCUUCCCAUGUUUAUUGAGCGACUGCUUCAGUAGAACUAUGAUCUUCUUCCUCUUCUCCUGCUGCCUGACAGUCGGUCUGGCCGUUGACGUCCGUCAGACUCCGGCUGAAGUUCUGAUUCCUCCUGGAAACCAGGUGCAUCUUCUCUGCAACCACGACAAGACUGAUUUCUACUUGAUGCUCUGGUACCAGCAGACGCCCGGAACCGCAGACAUGAAGCUCAUCGGAUAUCUGUAUUACAGCCAAGUAACCAUGGAGAAAGAAUUUAAAGAUGAUUUCAAGAUUUCUGGAGAUCUGAGUGGAACCACGGCGAAGAACGGAUCUCUGGUGAUCACCAAAGCAGAAGAGAAGAACUCUGCAGUUUAUUUCUGUGCAGCGAGCAAAGCACAGUGAUGAAGAUCCUGAGAGGACGUGACAAAAACCCUCGGUGGUUUUCAGGCUCCUCCCAGCUGCUUCUGUGGUCCAUGAUUCUACUACUAGAAUCUACAAUUUCACUGUUUGAAUGUUUCUGUCUAAAAAACAAGAAACUCAUCAAAGUUUCAUUUAUGGAAGCAGAGAUGUAACAGGAAGGAAAAAUGAUCCUGCAUUUCUCUUUGCUGCCACCAGUAGGCGCUGCUUCUUAGCUGUUACAUUAACCUCCAGCUAAUGUUAAAGAUGUUUUCAGACACUUUUUAUAUUUUUAAAUGACACACAUUUAUAAAAUCAGUGCAGCAGAUAAAUCUGGUUCAUUUUACAUUUUAUAACAGAUUAUUAAUGAAGAACUUCAUUUAAAUUUAGACUUUAAAGCAGAAAUAUUUUUAGUGUUUGUCACAGAAACAUUUAAAUUUGUGCUCCG